AGCGACUCUGCCUCUCUAAGACAUCCCUUUUAUAGCUAAUCAUGUUACAGACCUGAUAUCAAUUAACUUAAUUAGUUGCUAGAUGUUCUCCCAGCUGAAUCUUUUCAAAAUUUCUUGCUUUUUAAUCCAUUUGUUGCCCCUGUGCCACCUUUUUGGAGACCUGUAGCAGGCAUCAAAUUUGAAAUGAGCUCAUUUAGUGUAAAAUUUCUCCAUUUAAACAUUUGUUAUGUUAUCUGUGUUCUAUUGUGAAUAAAAUAUUGGCUCAUGUCUUUUAGUUUUCAUUUUAUUCAACGUCCCAACAUUUCUGGAAUUCGAGUUGUAGAAUAAAACUUGCUCAUAAACCAAGAAGUCUGAUUUGUAAGUUAAUGAAUGUUAUUUUGAGUCUGUUCUUUGCAAUGAAUCUAUUCAAACUGGGUCAUGAGUUAAUUGGUCUGAACUGGGAUUCUUUUUAAUAAACUUAUCCAUUACUUUAUUUGUGUUUAUUUUUGGAAAUAUUUUCUAAAAAUAAAGUCAUGUGGAAGUAGUGACCCAUAUGAUUUUUAUUUUUGACAUACAUUUGGCUGAACUUCCCAAGGCUAUUUUUGCAAAGUAACCAGCAAAUGAAUGGUAACACGAUAUGUAUGAUAAGCAGACGUCUUGUUUACACAAGUGGAUUCGCAUCAAUUAGUUGUUUGGACAAAAGCAGCAUCCCUAAUUAAAGAUCUGAAUGACCUUUCCGUGGUAUGCGACGGUUUGAUAAGUGUGCAAAUAAACAGACUGUGCUUCUAAGUGCAGAAUGACACGUAAUUGUAGGGUUCAGAUGCUGGAACCGAUCACUUGGCACUGAAAAUCUGUAGGUCUGCCCGUCCAGCUGACACGCUGUAGUGAUCCUCAACUUCGGCCUCUGAUUUUCAAAUUGUGGGACGUUCAGUGUGUUUUUAAGGAAACUUAAACUCCAAAAUUUGGUCCAGAAAUGGGAAUUGCAUGUUGUUCAGUUCUUCUUUUAGAACUCGGAGGAUUAUAGCAUGGAGUCAAUCACUGUCAGUUAGCCAUAGCCGUGGACUUUCCCCAAAGCUUCAAAAGUUUCCUGUCUGGCCACAGAGACAAUUCGCUGUAUCCAGAAGCAAAGCUCCUCAGGGAUAUGUUUAGUUUGAAAUAAAUCCUGUUUACAAGUUAUUUGUGGAUGAAGAGUUCAGGGAGCAAGAGUCUUUAUUUAUUUCUUCAUAAGGACCUGCAGCCUCACGUUCUCUGGAUGACAGUAGAGCAAGUGACUGAGGACAGCAAUGCCAAUCUUCAGCACAUGCUACAUCCAUUUCCUGGUGAGGGAAAAAAAAAAGUAGGAGCUAUGGUCUGGAGACUCAACAGAGAGAGGCUGGAAAUCAGGUUGCUCUAUUUGCAAGUACAUGACACACAUAUGAUAGACAUCUGGCCAAAUCUGUACAAGAAAACCAUCUGUUUAUAGACCCAGAUCAUAGAUGUUAGAUGUUAGAUACAGAUGUUUUCCACACCUGUGUAUAGAAUACACAUCAAACCUGUAUACUCUUGUGGAAAUGUUGAAGAAUGUAAAGGUGUGUUCGAUUUCAAUUUAAGGUCAAUUUGUUAUAAUAAUAAUAAUUCAGACGUAAACACGGAAGCUCUGCACUGCGUUCACUGCGCCGACUGUGUAGGAGACUGACAGGGAAGAGGAAAAAUUGUUGAAUAAAAUCAUUAUUUUUGUUUUGUUUUUGCGCACAAGAAGUAUUCUCAUCGCUUCAAAACAUUAAGGUUGAACCACUGUAGUCACAAACUAGUGCACUGGGAUAGAAUUAUGAGGUUGCCUGGCUGAAAUAUAUUAAGCAAGUAAUGUUCUAUCCAGUGCAGUAAUAUAUCUUAGCUGAAAGAAUUGCAACACAAUACAAGCCUUUUUUCCCAACCACUCAUAUGGUUUACUGCUUGUACGGGUGAGUUAUCUAUCAAAGUGCUUGGCAGACUUUUCAGUGAACAAAUGUCUUAUAGAAAUGCACGUUUGCAAACCUAGGGAGGUAAAUCUGUCAGCUGUUAGAAGGUGUGAUCUUGUUGUGAAGAAUCUUUCAUUAUUUCCAAAUUCACAUAGAUCAGCGCCAGGUGAACAACUGGCUAAAUCAGUUCCACAUUCCAACAGUGUCCUCAAUUGGACUUGUUAUACUUGUGAAUUUUUGUAUACCAGUCUUUGCAUACAAAAUUACUUUAGACUAAGAAGAUCUAAUAUACCUAGAGAAACCUAUCCUAAUAUUAUUCCCAUUCAUUUUAUGAUUGUCUUUUAAUUUGAUUAUUUGACUGACCUGACAAAACUCAAUGACUUUGUUUGCACAGAACUGAAAUAAUAAUGGCCAAAAAUCUGUUUUACUUCAAAAAUGAUAACUGGACAUUACUUAAAGGGUUAUAAUAAUUCUCAUAAUUUACUCACCCUCAAGCCAUCCUAGGUGUAAAUGACUUUCUUCUUUCAGCCAAACACAAUCCAUCCAUCAUAAAAGUAAUUCAUAUGGCUGAGGUGAGGCAAGAUGGCGCCAGCGUGUUGCACGGCGAGCCGUCUCUCUCUGUUUAUGUUGCCCGUUGUUUGUCUCCUCGGUCUGUUGCCUUGUUUGCUGUUACAGCAAGUUACUGCAGUUCUUAUUUAUGAUCGACAAACUCUACUGGAUAUUCACGACUCAAUGGCUAAUUUAUGCACCUGUAACUCGGGUGAAGGGAGGUUUUUUAAUCUUCCUCCUAAGUCGAUGUUGCGGAUGGAUGUUUGUUGCCUACCUGACUGUGUUUUUAAUAAAAAGAAGCGUUAUAAAAAGCGAGGCAAGCGUGGUGGAGUGGCAGUUCGACUGAGGAUGAGCUCUGGUAAUGCCCUGAAGUCCAAAAGUUUGUGGAUUACGGAGUCUUCUAAGUGCCAUCAGUUUCAAUGCGCGGCCUUCCCUUCGGCGUAUUCUUCACCCUAGGGAGUCAUGGCUCAUUCCGGUUUUCCCGAACUCGCCGAGUCCUCUCGCCAGCUGGGAAUCGAGGAAACCACGCACCGCCGGGAGAGGAGUAAAUGCUUGUAACCUGAGAACCGUGGAUCGCCUUUCACUAUCAAAGACUAGAUCGUUUGAUCAGACGAUGCAAAGCCAGCCUUCGGACUUGGUGACGAGAAGUCCGCAGAUGCAGUGGGUUGUAGCAGGUGUAAAUGGAGAUGAGGUCCACAGGGCACUGAAAUGGAAGCCAGUAGCAGCUGGAAUGCCUUAUGACUCAGAAGGUCAUAAGGUCAAUGGAGCAGCAGGCAGCAAACUGCAUUUACCAGCGCAGAGAUGCAGGGUGUGAGAAGAAACUGAAACUCUGUCCUCGGAAACUCAGAUUGGGGUCAUGUGCCCUUUGUACAGAGCAUGCACAUUCAUGCUCUAUACAUUUUGAAUCCAUUUUGGCCGAAUACGUGAAACCCACGAAAUCCACUUCUCAAGACCCUAUCAGCGGUCAGAGCUAUCGACCAUGAGAUUAUACCGCUGUGUGGUGGUGGGACUAUGGCCUGAAAAUGAAAACAGGGGCCGCUAUUACAUUCUGGAUGCUUCGCGUCCUGAUCAUGUCCUACCUACAGACCUGUGAACUGUAACCCCGGCCAGAGGAUCCCAUCUGGAAAGGUUCGGCCCAUUGAAAAGAAGCGUCCAAUUCAGUUCCCGGGCCUUCAAAGAGGAGUCAGAGUCAUGGCGUUAGAAAUUAGAUUAGUCAGAGCCAUGAAGUGUCCAGUGACUCUGAGAAGAAACCGAAGCAUUCUGGGGAUCAGAGGGCCUGGAUGCAGCCAAGAGAAGAACAAGCAUAAAUCAAGAGAGGGUUCAUCCCAAACAAUACCGUCUGCUUAGAGUCCUAAACCUCCAACAGAUGCACUGGUUUUCUUGCCUUUCUCCCUAUAGCUUGCUAGCAAAAUAUGGGCCUCAGGAGAGCAUUAAAAGGAGACUGGUGAAUGAUGGGCACAGCAAUAAUGGAGCAAUCCUAUCUAGCCCUGUCUUGCAUGUAUAUUGUUCAGAUGUGUGGGGUGGCAAGAAGUAAGAUGCUUGUUUUUUGCUACAGUAUAUAGAUGUCAGCUGCAGCAACCUACUUCCACCGGAACAGGCCCAAACUGAAAGACCCCUAAAACCGGCAGAGCUUAUCAAGAUUUGAGCAGAAGCACAACUGGACAUGAAUUCGUUUUUUUUUUUCCUCUUCUCCAUCUGUACCACUCUGAUUUACAUGACUUUUUAUAAUAAGCAGGGCCUUGAGACAAGCAACAUUUGGACAGCAAUGACAGCACAUCUGGCGGGAGGAGAGAAAAUAGAGAGAGUCUUCCUUUUCCAAAUGCUGAACUUGCCUGGAAUGGAAAGGCAUGGUCAGGGUGGAAUCCCAGGCCGGGGGCUGACAUUUGGAUGGCUUCUUGCACUGCCUUGGAACAGAAUGCCGGGUAAGGAUGCAGUGCAUGUUCUUAAAAAGUUUUAGAUUAGUGGUUCUUAGACUGACGUUGUAUGCAACAUGACUCUGGAAAUUCAAAUUUUAUUUAAAUGAGUUAAAUUAGUAUUUCUGAUAUAUAUGUAAUUUUAAUAUAGCUUUGAGUAUUUCAGAAUCUUGUAUAUAGUCUACAUUCAAUAAAAAAAAUCUUCACUGUUCUGAAGCUGCACAUUGGCAUAGCCAUGUUUGUCAAAGUGCAGGCAUCUCAAUUUUAUUCUGCAUGCAAAUGUUGCCCCUCCAGUUCACACCGCCUGAUCCAAGCAUCAGUCGCUAGAGCGCCUCUUGAGAUCAGGGGAGUGAGGUUUACAUGCACAGGCCUACGUCUGUUACACAAAAAAAUUCUGUAGGCAUCUAAAUGCUCAAUUUCUUUGUUUCGUCUUAUACUAUUUCAGUUGUUACACUGUAAAGCCUGCAUGAUGUUCACUAAGGAUAAAGAUUUUAAAAAAAAGAAAAGUCAUUGAAUAUGUAUAUGAGCCAUUCCUAAAAGUUCAUUUUUUAUCUUUUUAUCUGCAUGUAUGAUUUUGAACAUUUGCAUAUGCGUCUCUUUUGAGAGGGAAGUAGGGGGAAUUUUGUUGGCCGCUGAGGACUUUUAUUAUGAUGGUCUAGCCCAUAAGAAGGGAAGGGCUGCCAUUUUGAAGAGGUAUGUGUGUGUUGUGUUGUGUUGUGUUGUGUUGUGUUGUGUUGUGUUGUGUUGUGUUGUGUUGUGUUGUGUUGUGUUGUGUUGUGGUGAGGUGACCUGCUUUUGCUACCUUAAAGGUGCUAUAGAGGAUGUUUUGUUUUAUACAUUUUUGCAAUAUUACUUGAAACUGCCUUUACUAACUGAUAAAAGACUAUUUAUUAGGUGCACUGAAAGGAAUAAUAUCAAUAUACAUCAUCUGUGCACGAGGUAGGGCCUUAAAAACAUCCGCCAAUCGUUUGCGUGAUCAUCGCAUAAACUAUUGGCCGUCUGGCUUGUCAGUCACCGCCAUUACGUUCCUUGUGAGAGACGUGCGCGGAUUGGCCCUCUGGCUUGUCAAUCAGUGC